CCCGGCUUACCAACCCGAUGCAAACUGCGAAUACCGGAGAAUGUUAUCACGGGAGACACACGGCGGGUGCUAACGUCCGUCGUGAAGAGGGAAACAACCCAGACCGCCAGCUAAGGUCCCAAAGUCAUGGUUAAGUGGGAAACGAUGUGGGAAGGCCCAGACAGCCAGGAUGUUGGCUUAGAAGCAGCCAUCAUUUAAAGAAAGCGUAAUAGCUCACUGGUCGAGUCGGCCUGCGCGGAAGAUGUAACGGGGCUAAACCAUGCACCGAAGCUGCGGCAGCGACACUGUGUGUUGUUGGGUAGGGGAGCGUUCUGUAAGCCUGUGAAGGUGUGUCGUGAGGCAUGCUGGAGGUAUCAGAAGUGCGAAUGCUGACAUAAGUAACGAUAAAGCGGGUGAAAAGCCCGCUCGCCGGAAGACCAAGGGUUCCUGUCCAACGUUAAUCGGGGCAGGGUGAGUCGACCCCUAAGGCGAGGCCGAAAGGCGUAGUCGAUGGGAAACGGGUUAAUAUUCCCGUACUUGGUGUUACUGCGAAGGGGGGACGGAGAAGGCUAUGUUGGCCGGGCGACGGUUGUCCCGGUUUAAGCGUGUAGGUGUGUGUUCCAGGUAAAUCCGGUUCACUUUAACACUGAGGCGUGACGACGAGGCACUACGGUGCUGAAGCAACAAAUGCCCUGCUUCCAGGAAAAGCCUCUAAGCAUCAGGUAACAUCAAAUCGUACCCCAAACCGACACAGGUGGUCAGGUAGAGAAUACCAAGGCGCUUGAGAGAACUCGGGUGAAGGAACUAGGCAAAAUGGUGCCGUAACUUCGGGAGAAGGCACGCUGACACGUAGGUGAAGUGAUUUACUCAUGGAGCUGAAGUCAGUCGAAGAUACCAGCUGGCUGCAACUGUUUAUUAAAAACACAGCACUGUGCAAACACGAAAGUGGACGUAUACGGUGUGACGCCUGCCCGGUGCCGGAAGGUUAAUUGAUGGGGUCAGCGCAAGCGAAGCUCCUGAUCGAAGCCCCGGUAAACGGCGGCCGUAACUAUAACGGUCCUAAGGUAGCGAAAUUCCUUGUCGGGUAAGUUCCGACCUGCACGAAUGGCGUAAUGAUGGCCAGGCUGUCUCCACCCGAGACUCAGUGAAAUUGAACUCGCUGUGAAGAUGCAGUGUACCCGCGGCAAGACGGAAAGACCCCGUGAACCUUUACUAUAGCUUGACACUGAACAUUGAGCCUUGAUGUGUAGGAUAGGUGGGAGGCUUUGAAGUGUGGACGCCAGUCUGCAUGGAGCCGACCUUGAAAUACCACCCUUUAAUGUUUGAUGUUCUAACGUGGACCCGUUACCCGGGUUGCGGACAGUGUCUGGUGGGUAGUUUGACUGGGGCGGUCUCCUCCUAAAGAGUAACGGAGGAGCACGAAGGUUGGCUAAUCCUGGUCGGACAUCAGGAGGUUAGUGCAAUGGCAUAAGCCAGCUUGACUGCGAGCGUGACGGCGCGAGCAGGUGCGAAAGCAGGUCAUAGUGAUCCGGUGGUUCUGAAUGGAAGGGCCAUCGCUCAACGGAUAAAAGGUACUCCGGGGAUAACAGGCUGAUACCGCCCAAGAGUUCAUAUCGACGGCGGUGUUUGGCACCUCGAUGUCGGCUCAUCACAUCCUGGGGCUGAAGUAGGUCCCAAGGGUAUGGCUGUUCGCCAUUUAAAGUGGUACGCGAGCUGGGUUUAGAACGUCGUGAGACAGUUCGGUCCCUAUCUGCCGUGGGCGCUGGAGAACUGAGGGGGGCUGCUCCUAGUACGAGAGGACCGGAGUGGACGCAUCACUGGUGUUCGGGUUGUCAUGCCAAUGGCACUGCCCGGUAGCUAAAUGCGGAAGAGAUAAGUGCUGAAAGCAUCUAAGCACGAAACUUGCCCCGAGAUGAGUUCUCCCUGAGACUUAGAGUCUCCUGA
rnacentral:rRNA from 1 species